GACGAACGCUGGCGGCGUGCUUAACACAUGCAAGUCGAACGGAAAGGCCCCGUUCGUGUUACUCGAGUGUCGAACGGGUACGUAACAGUUGCGUAAGCUGCACUUGACUUCGGGAUGGCGACAACAAACUGAGACGAAUACCGGAUAGGCAUCAUUGCUUCAUGGAGGGGGUUGAAGAGCUAGAGCGGUUUUUGCUGGACUCGCGGGUUAUCCGCUUGUUGGUUGGGUAGUGGCUUACGAAAGCGUUGACGGGUAGGCGGCCUGAGAGGGGGACCGGCCACCAUGCGACUGAGAGACGGCGCAGAAUCGUACGGGAGGCAGUAGUCGGGAAUAUUGCCCAAUGGGCCGAAGCCUGAGGAGGAAAUGCCGCGUGCGGGAUGACGGGUUUGGGGUUGAAAACCGUGGUGAGAAGGGGAGAAGCUUGUGGUGACGGUAACUGCCCAAGAAGCAACGGCUAACUACGUG
rnacentral:rRNA from 1 species